GCAACUGCUGCAGUGGAUGAUUUAAAAGCUGUUGUAAUGAAGAUUAAUUCUCUUGAAAGAGAAAAAAGUCUUCCUCCUUGGGAUGAUGAAAACAUCCCAGAAGAAAUUGUCUGUGCAAAACCGGAUCCAGGGCAUAUAAUAGAGCAGCUUGAAUAUCCCAACAUUGGAGCCACUGAGUUGAUUUUAACGAAUGGAAUGCGAGUUUGCUAUAAAUCUACUGACUUCCUUGAUGACCAGGUUUUAU
rnacentral:misc_RNA from 1 species